UUCAAUUCACCAUGAAUAAACUGUCAAAAAAGGUAAUUUUUUAAAUUUAAUAGUAUUAGUAUGUAUUUUAUCCAAAUUGUAAUGGUUUUUAUUGCUGUGAUUUUAAUCGUUGAGGACGUAGCACCCAACGGAACAGGUCCAUAUUCGGCCACCACGAUGAACUCAUCCCUCAAGGACGUUAAGCGGGCCAAGAGAGAUUUUUGGGACUUUCGGACUGGCUACGACCUUAGAAAAGGUGGAAGAGGUGGUGGUGGAAGAGGGAGUGGUGGUCGUGGCGGUGGUCGAAUACGUUGGGGAGGUGGUGGGCGUAAAGGUAGACGCUCAACUGGUUGUAGACAUCUUGACAAUGCUGCCCUUAUUCUCAUCCCAUCAAUUGUAAAUUGUAUAUCUUUUGAAACGUUUAAAUAUAAAUAAUUCUGUUAAUUUCAAUACAACAAUUUUUUAAAGCUUUGAAAAACUUGUUACUGUCUUGUAUAUAUUAACAAAAAUGAGUUAGUAUGAAUUCAAUCAAAAUUUUAAUUGUGACUACUUGUAUAAUUUUACUCUUUGAGAAUGUUAGGCAGACGGAAGCAAGCAGUUGCUCCACUCCACUACCCACCAACAUCUCUAACUCAUCUUUCAGGGCUUUAAGGCGAGCAAAAAGAGAAGGACGGUUGAACAUUGUGCCCUCAGAACAUGCCCGCAAAAAAAAAGAUUGGCACAAGUGGAUGCCGAGAAAGAAACGACGUAGAAUUCGUGGAGGAGGUGGACGUCGCAGUUCAACUACCUGUGGAACACCCAAAUAUGCCAUCCUUCCGUUUGUUAUUUUCUUGGUAAUUGGUUAGUUGGUUUCCAACUCAGGUUAAUCAGGGACUCACCUGAGUAGCUUCACGCGCUGGUCGAACAGCUGGAGCUGCUCAUCGGGCUGCGACUCCCACGUGGCCAGGAUCUUGUUGUCGAUCAGCGUGGCGAACAUUUGAGAUUCAAGGAAGCGCGAGAGGAAGGCGCGGUGGUGCUCCGGCUGAUCCGACAGAAACGAGGAUUUGUCGAAGUUCUGCAGCGUUUCGCGGUUCGAGAUCCAUUCGUCGCGCGCCUGGUUCGGGUAGAUCACGAAGUACUCGUAGGCAUGGAACAUGUGCACGAAUCGAUUGAGAAAGAUCUCCCGCACGGAGUUGUUGAUGCGCAGGUCCUGGUAGUACUGCUCCACCGGCGUCAGUUUCUGCUUCUCCGUGCGCCGGGCACUGGCUGGCAUGGUGGCGUCCACUGCAUCCACAUCGUGGUAGAUGCCAACCGGCGAGGAAGAGAGCGAGACGGUGGGACUGCCCACCGGGGAGCCAGCUCCCCGGAUGCCUCCCUUCCUGCGCAGAAAGUCCGCAAUGCGUGGCACGUGAUCAAUCCGCGAGGGAUGCGCUAUCAGCGGCUGGUAGUCCACCGCCCCACCUCCUGGCGAUCCCGACAGCGUGUAGACGGUCUCCUGCAGUUGCUGAAACCGCUCCUUGCUUCGGCGCACUGCCUGUAAACCGGUGGGCAGGGUGCAACUGGAGAUCAUGGCGUCGACACCACCUGCUCCGCCACUUCCGGAUCCGCCAACUCCUCCACCAGCUCCCCUGCCCACAUAGCCAUUCCGAAAGCUGGGCUCCUGAUCGCGGUCCCGGUCGAUCUCGAACUUGUCCAGCACCGAUCCGAUCUCGGCCAUGAAGUCCAUCUUGUGCGGGAAGACUGGGAGCUCCUCGGGCAGCUGGAUGUGCUUCUUGUCGAUGUCCACGAAGCAGAGAGUGGCCUCGCUGCCGAUCUUGUGGGCCGCUUCGCACUCGGCGUGCAGUCCCAUCACGAAGGGCACAGGCGCAUCCAAAAAGUGGUGGAGGGCUGCCGGCAGAAUGGGAGCAUAUACAUGCGGCCAAACGAAGGGGAACAGUAACGAGGUAAUGCACUCGCCUACGAUCAUGAGUCUUUGGUAGUCUGCAAGGGAAAGGGGGGAAAUGAAGCAUCUGUUUGGGCUCGUGGGAUAAUCCCUUGGCUAUACAUUUGAAACUAUAUCUUACCUGUGGACCGCAGCAGGACCUGAUUCUCUAGAAGGACGCAAGUCAGCAGCUGUAUCACACACUCCACGCCCAGGUACUUGAAGAGCAGCCGCAGCGGAAAGUCAAGGAGAGGCAACUCUGUAGCUAGAAGCGGACGCUGCAGGGUCACGGCAAUGGCGGGCAGAUGCGGCUCUGUGGGCGGCAGGUAAACGCGGAUGGACUUGCCCGGUUGCGGCAGCAUGACCUCGUAGAGAAUGUUGUACACGUAGGACUCUAAGCUUAUGCCAGCACCCGGCUGCCGAGGAAGACACCUAGUGAAAAGAAUAAACUUUAGUACAGAGAAUACGCCACGUAUCGAUUUCUCUCCCACUAA